rnacentral:rRNA from 1 species
UACGAAGGGUGCGAGCGUUAAUCGGAAUUACUGGGCGUAAAGCGUGCGCAGGCGGCUUUGCAAGACAGAUGUGAAAUCCCCGGGCUCAACCUGGGAACUGCAUUUGUGACUGCAAGGCUAGAGUACGGCAGAGGGGGAUGGAAUUCCGCGUGUAGCAGUGAAAUGCGUAGAUAUGCGGAGGAACACCAAUGGCGAAGGCAAUCCCCUGGGCCUGUACUGACGCUCAUGCACGAAAGCGUGGGGAGCAAACAGG